CAGUCGCCGCGGGAAUACGAAGGGGGCUAGCGUUACUCGGAAUUACUGGGCGUAAAGGGCGCGUAGGCGGCACGAUUAGUCAGGCGUGAAAUUCCUGGGCUCAACCUGGGGACUGCGCUUGAUACGGUCGAGCUAGAGGAUGGAAGAGGGUCGUGGAAUACCCAGUGUAGAGGUGAAAUUCGUAGAUAUUGGGAAGAACACCGGUGGCGAAGGCGGCGACCUGGUCCAUUACUGACGCUGAGGCGCGGCAGCGUGGGGAGCAAACAGGAUUAGAUACCCGUGUAGUCCCUGUCUCUUAUAC
rnacentral:rRNA from 1 species